rnacentral:lncRNA from 1 species
GUGUUUUGCUCUCCAAGCUUUGCCUUUGGGAAAUGGCUCUCUAUGCUUCUUCCCCAAAAUGCAUGCUUCACACUGUCUUGGAGCAAAGUCAAGUGAAGGAAAACCUGACACCAUCUUAUUCUUCACAAGAUAUUGUAAACCGCCAAAAUUAAACCUCAUGUGCCAUAACCAAGUAUCAUCAAGAGCAAUUGAAUUGUAACAGGGUAAGUGACCGUAGUUGAAAGUUACUGGAAACAUCCGAUUUUUGGUCAUACUUACCU